AUUGAACGCUGGCGGCAGGCCUAACACAUGCAAGUCGAACGGUAACAGGAAGAAGCUUGCUUCUUUGCUGACGAGUGGCGGACGGGUGAGUAAUGUCUGGGACACUGCCUGAUGGAGGGGGAUAACUACUGGAAACGGUAGCUAAUACCGCAUAACGUCGCAAGACCAAAGAGGGGGACCUUCGGGCCUCUUGCCAUCGGAUGUGCCCAGAUGGGAUUAGCUAGUAGGUGGGGUAACGGCUCACCUAGGCGACGAUCCCUAGCUGGUCUGAGAGGAUGACCAGCCACACUGGAACUGAGACACGGUCCAGACUCCUACGGGAGGCAGCAGUGGGGAAUAUUGCACAAUGGGCGCAAGCCUGAUGCAGCCAGGCCGCGUGUAUGAAGAAGGACUUCGGGUUGUAAAGUACUUUCAGCGGGGAGGAAGGGAGUAAAGUUAAUACCUUUGCUCAUUGACGUUACCCGCAGAAGAAGCACCGGCUAACUCCGUG
rnacentral:rRNA from 1 species